GAUGAACGCUGGCGGCGUGCCUAAUACAUGCAAGUCGAACGGUAAGGCCCUUCGGGGUACACGAGUGGCGAACGGGUGAGUAACACGUGGGUGAUCUGCCCUGCACUUCGGGAUAAGCCUGGGAAACUGGGUCUAAUACCGGAUAGGACUCCUGCCUGCAUGGGUGGGGGGGGAAAGCUUUUGCGGUGUGGGAUGGGCCCGCGGCCUAUCAGCUUGUUGGUGGGGUGAUGGCCUACCAAGGCGACGACGGGUAGCCGGCCUGGGAGGGUGACCGGCCACACUGGGACUGAGAUACGGCCCAGACUCCUACGGGAGGCAGCAGUGGGGAAUAUUGCACAAUGGGCGCAAGCCUGAUGCAGCGACGCCGCGUGAGGGAUGACGGCCUUCGGGUUGUAAACCUCUUUCAGCACAGACGAAGCGCAAGUGACGGUAUGUGCAGAAGAAGGACCGGCCAACUACGUGCCAGCAGCCGCCGUAA
rnacentral:rRNA from 1 species